CCAAUUAAAGUGAAACAUGAGCUGGGUUCAGAACGCCGUGAGGCAGUUUGGUUUCUAUCUACUAAUAUUUGAAGAAAAUUUGAAAAAAUAAACCUUAGUACGAGAGGACUGGGAAAAGUAAACCUCUUGUUUAACGGCUGUUCUUUUGUAGAGCAUUGUCGUAUAGCUACGUUUAUAUUAGAUAAUCACUGAACGCAUUUAAGUGAGAAAUUAUUUUUAAGGCCUGUUUUCUAUUAAAAGAGUCGUGAACACCGAUCACGUAAUUAGGUACUGCG
rnacentral:rRNA from 1 species